rnacentral:rRNA from 1 species
UGUCUACUAACUAUAGNCCUGUAUGAAAGGCAAAAUNAGGGUCCAACUGUCUCUUAUAAUAAAUCAAUUAAACUGAUCUCCUAGUAAAAAAGCUAGAAUCUAAACAUAAGACCAGAAGACCCUGUGAAGCUUAAAUCAAACUAUUAACCCACAUAAUAAAUACUUUCGGUUGGGGCGACCUUGGAAAAAAAAAGAACUUCCAAACAACAUAGUACAUCUACCCAAACACAGGCCAACAAGCCAAUAAAUGACCCAGUCAAAAGACUGAUAAAUGAACCAAGUUACUCCAGGGAUAACAGCGCAAUCUUCUUCAAGAGCCCAUAUCAAAAAGAAGGUUUACGACCUCGAUGUUGGAUCAGGACAUCCUAAUGGUGCAGCCGCUAUUAAGGGUUCGUUUGUUCAACGAUUAACAGU